rnacentral:rRNA from 1 species
UUAAGCGACUAAGCGUACACGGUGGAUGCCCUGGCAGUCAGAGGCGAUGAAGGACGUGCUAAUCUGCGAAAAGCGUCGGUAAGGUGAUAUGAACCGUUAUAACCGGCGAUGUCCGAAUGGGGAAACCCAGUGNNNNNNNNNNNNNNNNNNNCACUAUCGUUAACUGAAUACAUAGGUUAACGAGGCGAACCGGGGGAACUGAAACAUCUAAGUACCCCGAGGAAAAGAAAUCAACCGAGAUUCCCCCAGUAGCGGCGAGCGAACGGGGAGCAGCCCAGAGUCUGAAUCAGCUUGUGUGUUAGUGGAACGGUCUGGAAAGUCCGACGGUACAGGGUGAUAGUCCCGUACACCAAAAUGCACAGGCUGUGAACUCGAAGAGUAGGGCGGGACACGUGGUAUCCUGUCUGAAUAUGGGGGGACCAUCCUCCAAGGCUAAAUACUCCUGACUGACCGAUAGUGAACCAGUACCGUGAGGGAAAGGCGAAAAGAACCCCGGCGAGGGGAGUGAAAAAGAACCUGAAACCGUGUACGUACAAGCAGUGGGAGCACCUUCGGGUGUGACUGCGUACCUUUUGUAUAAUGGGUCAGCGACUUAUAUUCUGUAGCAAGGUUAACCGUAUAGGGGAGCCGCAGGGAAACCGAGUCUUAACUGGGCGUUAAGUUGCAGGGUAUAGACCCGAAACCCGGUGAUCUAGCCAUGGGCAGGUUGAAGGUUGGGUAACACUAACUGGAGGACCGAACCGACUAAUGUUGAAAAAUUAGCGGAUGACUUGUGGCUGGGGGUGAAAGGCCAAUCAAACCGGGAGAUAGCUGGUUCUCCCCGAAAGCUAUUUAGGUAGCGCCUCGUGAACUCAUCUUCGGGGGUAGAGCACUGUUUCGGCUAGGGGGUCAUCCCGACUUACCAACCCGAUGCAAACUACGAAUACCGAAGAAUGUUAUCACGGGAGACACACGGCGGGUGCUAACGUCCGUCGUGAAGAGGGAAACAACCCAGACCGCCAGCUAAGGUCCCAAAGUCAUGGUUAAGUGGGAAACGAUGUGGGAAGGCACAGACAGCCAGGAUGUUGGCUUAGAAGCAGCCAUCAUUUAAAGAAAGCGUAAUAGCUCACUGGUCGAGUCGGCCUGCGCGGAAGAUGUAACGGGGCUAAACCAUGCACCGAAGCUGCGGCAGCGACACUAUGUGUUGUUGGGUAGGGGAGCGUUCUGUAAGCCUGCGAAGGUGNUGCUGGAGGUAUCAGAAGUGCGAAUGCUGACAUAAGUAACGAUAAAGCGGGUGAAAAGCCCGCUCGCCGGAAGACCAAGGGUUCCUGUCCAACGUUAAUCGGGGCAGGGUGAGUCGACCCCUAAGGCGAGGCCGAAAGGCGUAGUCGAUGGGAAACAGGUUAAUAUUCCUGUACUUGGUGUUACUGCGAAGGGGGGACGGAGAAGGCUAUGUUAGCCGGGCGACGGUUGUCCCGGUUUAAGCAUGUAGGCUGGUUGUCCAGGCAAAUCCGGAUAAUCAAGGCUGAGGUGUGAUGACGAGGCACUACGGUGCUGAAGUAACAAAUGCCCUGCUUCCAGGAAAAGCCUCUAAGCAUCAGGUAACAUCAAAUCGUACCCCAAACCGACACAGGUGGUCAGGUAGAGAAUACCAAGGCGCUUGAGAGAACUCGGGUGAAGGAACUAGGCAAAAUGGUGCCGUAACUUCGGGAGAAGGCACGCUGGUGUGUAGGUGAAGUCCCUGCGGAUGGAGCUGAGACCAGUCGAAGAUACCAGCUGGCUGCAACUGUUUAUUAAAAACACAGCACUGUGCAAACACGAAAGUGGACGUAUACGGUGUGACGCCUGCCCGGUGCCGGAAGGUUAAUUGAUGGGGUUAUCCGUAAGGAGAAGCUCUUGAUCGAAGCCCCGGUAAACGGCGGCCGUAACUAUAACGGUCCUAAGGUAGCGAAAUUCCUUGUCGGGUAAGUUCCGACCUGCACGAAUGGCGUAAUGAUGGCCAGGCUGUCUCCACCCGAGACUCAGUGAAAUUGAACUCGCUGUGAAGAUGCAGUGUACCCGCGGCAAGACGGAAAGACCCCGUGAACCUUUACUAUAGCUUGACACUGAACAUUGAGCCUUGAUGUGUAGGAUAGGUGGGAGGCUUUGAAGCGUGGACGCCAGUCUGCGUGGAGCCAACCUUGAAAUACCACCCUUUAAUGUUUGAUGUUCUAACGUUGGCCCCUUACCGGGGUUGCGGACAGUGUCUGGUGGGUAGUUUGACUGGGGCGGUCUCCUCCCAAAGCGUAACGGAGGAGCACGAAGGUUAGCUAAUCCUGGUCGGACAUCAGGAGGUUAGUGCAAUGGCAUAAGCUAGCUUGACUGCGAGCGUGACGGCGCGAGCAGGUGCGAAAGCAGGUCAUAGUGAUCCGGUGGUUCUGAAUGGAAGGGCCAUCGCUCAACGGAUAAAAGGUACUCCGGGGAUAACAGGCUGAUACCGCCCAAGAGUUCAUAUCGACGGCGGUGUUUGGCACCUCGAUGUCGGCUCAUCACAUCCUGGGGCUGAAGUAGGUCCCAAGGGUAUGGCUGUUCGCCAUUUAAAGUGGUACGCGAGCUGGGUUUAGAACGUCGUGAGACAGUUCGGUCCCUAUCUGCCGUGGGCGCUGGAGAAUUGAGGGGGGCUGCUCCUAGUACGAGAGGACCGGAGUGGACGCAUCACUGGUGUUCGGGUUGUCAUGCCAAUGGCACUGCCCGGUAGCUAAAUGCGGAAGAGAUAAGUGCUGAAAGCAUCUAAGCACGAAACUUGCCCCGAGAUGAGUUCUCCCUGAGACUUUAAGUCUCCUGAAGGAACGUUAAAGACGAUGACGUUGAUAGGCCGGGUGUGUAAGCGCAGCGAUGCGUUGAGCUAACCGGUACUAAUGAACCGUGAGGCUUAACCUU